ACAAAAACAUGUCUCUUUGGUUAUCAAGUAUGAGGAGUUUGACCUGCCCGGUGAUGAGUAUUUAACGGCCGCAGUACUUUGACUGUGCGAAGGUAGCAUAAUUAUUUGCUUUAUAAUUGAAGGCUUGUAUGAAUGGUUUGACGAAAAUUGAUCUGUCUUAAUUUAAUUUUUUAGAAUUUAACUUUUAAGUGAAGAGGCUUUUAUAAUAUUGAUAGACAAGAAGACCCUGUCGAGCUUAAGUUUUUAGUUUAAUGUAUAUUUUAUAUUAUUCAUAGGUUUUAGUUGGGGUGACUGAGGAAUAUUAUGAGUUUCCUUGUAUGUUUGUAGAUUUGUUUAUUUUGAUCCAUUAGUUAGUGAUUAGUAGAAAAAGUUACCGCAGGGAUAACAGCAUAAUCUUUUUUGAGAGUUCAUAUCGAAAAAUGGGUUUGUGACCUCGAUGUUGGAUUAAAAUUUCCUAAGGGUGUAGAAGUUUUUAAGGGUUAGUCUGUUCGACUAUUAAAAUUUUACAUGAGCUGAG
rnacentral:rRNA from 1 species